GCCGCUGUAGCUCAGCUGGUAGAGCAACUGAUUCGUAAUCAGUAGGUCGCCCGUUCGAUUCGGGCCAGCGGCACCA
rnacentral:tRNA from 2 species